GAAAGAAGAGAUUGCAUGUGUUUUCUAGCUAAGUACAACUACUUCCUUGUACGCCUAUAAUUUCUUCUAAGUCUAGCAGAUUGCUUUCUUUUCCAGGCUAUUUCUCAUAAGGAUACAACUCCUCCCCCGCUUUUUUUCUUUUGGAAACAGGGUUAAGUUGCCCAGACUGGACUUGAACUUGUGAUCUGUGGAGGACCACCUGGAUGACUCUCCUUGAAUAAAGAACAGUUCUCUCCAUUUUGGCUAAACCUAGCCCUAGCUCCAUAUUCUGGAUAUACCCUUCCCGCCUAUGUUACAAGGGGCGAUUCUGAUUGGUGGAACCAACUGUCAUCUCAGUUCCUAUAGCAGUGGAAUGCUACCUCCUGCACCGGCUCCGGUGGCCCAGGGCCGGAGCCACAGGGUUUACUGGGACCUGAGCCAUGCUGGGACCUAGAGCCCGGGAAACCAAGAAUCACUUUCCUCUUCCCUGUUUUGUUUUGUUCAACUUCAAUAUACAUGAAAGUAUGGACAGCUAUUUUGAAGAGAAUGAGACACUCUACGCCAGCCAUUAGUGACUUCCUGUUGUCUGGUUUUGAAGACCUAAAACGCCUUCCUCAUUCUGUUCAGAUCAGUUUUAUACUAGGUUGUUUUGUAUGAAUUCUCUGUAUGUGAAGUCAUGGACAACUAUUUGGAAGACAACAAGAGACAAUAUGAUAGUGAAGAUCUCAGGUCGUCUAGCUUUGAAAUGUAUAUCUCUUACAUUGCUUUCUUAUGUCUUAUUUUGUUCAUUUUGCUGUAUUUAAUUUUACCCCCUUUAAAAUAAAAUUUACAAAAAAAUA